UGUUCGGGUUGUCAUGCCAAUGGCACUGCCCGGUAGCUAAAUGCGGAAGAGAUAAGUGCUGAAAGCAUCUAAGCACGAAACUUGCCCCGAGAUGAGUUCUCCCUGACUCCUUGAGAGUCCUGAAGGAACGUUGAAGACGACGACGUUGAUAGGCCGGGUGUGUAAGCGCAGCGAUGCGUUGAGCUAACCGGUACUAAUGAACCGUGAGGCUUAACCUU
rnacentral:rRNA from 1 species